GACGAACGCUGGCGGCGUGCUUAACACAUGCAAGUCGAACGGAAAGGCCCUGCUUUUGUGGGGUGCUCGAGUGGCGAACGGGUGAGUAACACGUGAGUAACCUGCCCUUGACUUUGGGAUAACUUCAGGAAACUGGGGCUAAUACCGGAUAGGAUCUCCUGCUGCAUGGUGGGGGUUGGAAAGUUUCGGCGGUUGGGGAUGGACUCGCGGCUUAUCGGCUUGUUGGUGGGGUAGUGGCUUACCAAGGCUUUGACGGGUAGCCGGCCUGAGAGGGUGACCGGCGACAAUGGGACUGAGAUACGGACCAGACUCCUACGGGAGGCAGCAGUGGGGAAUAUUGCACAGUGGGCGGAAGCCUGAUGCAGCAACGCCGCGUGCGGGAUGACGGCCUUCGGGUUGUAAACCGCUUUCGCCUGUGACGAAGCGUGAGUGACGGUAAUGGGUAAAGAAGCACCGGCUAACUACGUG
rnacentral:rRNA from 1 species